GCGCGCCUACGGGAGGCAGCAGUGGGGAAUAUUGCACAAUGGGGGAAACCCUGAUGCAGCGACGCCGCGUGAGCGAAGAAGUAUUUCGGUAUGUAAAGCUCUAUCAGCAGGGAAGAAAAAUGACGGUACCUGAGUAAGAAGCACCGGCUAAAUACGUGCCAGCAGCCGCGGUAAUACGUAUGGUGCAAGCGUUAUCCGGCUUUACUGGGUGUAAAGGGAGCGCAGGCGGUGCGGCAAGUCUGUUGUGAAAGUCCGGGGCUCAACCC
rnacentral:rRNA from 1 species